rnacentral:lncRNA from 1 species
GGAAAACAAAAAAAGGCAGGGGUUGCAAUCCUAGUCUCUGAUAAAACAGACUUUAAACCAACAAAGAUCAAAAGAGACAAAGAAGGCCAUUACAUAAUGGUAACCUACAAAGAGACUUAGACUCCCACACAAUGAUAAUGGGUGAUUUUAACACCCCACUGUCAACAUUAGACAGAUGAACGAGACAGAAAGUUAACAAGGAUACCUAGGAAUUGAACUCAGCUCUGCACCAAGCAGACCUAAUAGACAUCUACAGAACUCUCCACCCCAAAUCAACAGAAUAUACAUUCUUUUCAGCACCACACCACACCUACUCCAAAACUGACCACAUAGUUGGAAGUAAAGCACUCCUCAGCAAAUGUAAAAGAAUAGAAAUUAUAACAAACUGUCUCUCAGACCACAGUGCAAUCAAACUAGAACUCAGGAUUAAGAAACUCACUCAA